GGGUUGUGAGGUUAAGCGACUAAGCGUACACGGUGGAUGCCCUGGCAGUCAGAGGCGAUGAAGGACGUGCUAAUCUGCGAUAAGCGCCGGUAAGGUGAUAUGAACCGUUAUAACCGGCGAUUUCCGAAUGGGGAAACCCAGUGCAAUCCGUUGCACUAUCGUUAAGCCAAUACAUAACUUAACGAAGCGAACCGGGGGAAACUGAAACAUCUAAGUACCCCGAGGAAAAGAAAUCAACCGAGAUUCCCCCAGUAGCGGCGAGCGAACGGGGAGGAGCCCAGAACCAGCAUCAGUUUGUGUGUCAGUGGAAGCGUCUGGAAAGGCGCAGGGUACAGGGUGAUACUCCCGUACACAAAGGCACACCUUCUGUGAGUUCGACGAGUAGGGCGGGACACGUGGUAUCCUGUCUGAAUAUGGGGGGACCAUCCUCCAAGGCUAAAUACUCCUGACUGACCGAUAGUGAACCAGUACCGUGAGGGAAAGGCGAAAAGGAACCCCGGCGAGGGGAGUGAAACAGAACCUGAAACCGUGUACGUACAAGCAGUGGGAGCCUCUUU
rnacentral:rRNA from 2 species